AGUUAACGUUGGCGGCGUGCCUAACACAUGCAAGUCGAACGCGUCCUAAGGGCAACUUUAGGAUGAGUGGCGAACGGGUGAGUAUCACGUGGGUAAUCUUCCUUCAAGUGGGGAAUAAGCUCUCGAAAGGGAGUCUAAUACCGCAUGACAUUCCGGGACACAAGUCCCGUAAUCAAAGCCGCAAGGCGCUUGAAGAUGAGCCUGCGUCCUAUUAGCUAGUUGGUGGGGUAACGGCUCACCUAGGCGAAGACGGGUAGCCGGCCUGAGAGGGCGAACGGCCACACUGGAACUGAGAUACGGUCCAGACUCCUACGGGAGGCAGCAGUGGGGAAUAUUGGGCAAUGGGGGAAACCCUGACCAGCGACGCCGCGUGGGUGAAGAAAUCCUUCGGGAUGUAAAGCCCUGUUGUAUGGGAAGAGCGGAAGACGGUACCAUACGAGGAAGCCCCGGCAAACGUACGUGCCAGCAGCCGCGGUAAGAGUCACGUCG
rnacentral:rRNA from 1 species